GAUGAACGCUAGCGGCAGGCCUAACACAUGCAAGUCGAGGGAGAAGCCCUUUCGGGGGCAGAAACCGGCGCACGGGUGCGUAACGCGUAUGCAACCUACCUUUCACAGGGGGAUAGCCCGAAGAAAUUUGGAUUAAUACCCCAUAAUAUUAUUGGAUGGCAUCAUUUGAUAAUUAAAACUGCGGUGGUGAAAGAUGGGCAUGCGUCCUAUUAGCUAGUUGGAGUGGUAACGGCACCCCAAGGCUACGAUAGGUAGGGGUCCUGGGAGGGAGAUCCCCCACACUGGUACUGAGACAGGGACCAGACUCCUACGGGAGGCAGCAGUGAGGAAUAUUGGUCAAUGGUCGGAAGACUGAACCAGCCAUGCCGCGUGCAGGAAGAAUGCCUUAUGGGUUGUAAACUGCUUUUAUAUGGGAAGAAUAAGGUGUACGUGUACAUUGAUGACGGUACCAGAUGAAUAAGCAUCGGCUAACUCCGUG
rnacentral:rRNA from 1 species